rnacentral:piRNA from 1 species
UUUGAAUGGUGAUACCAGCGUGCGGU